rnacentral:lncRNA from 1 species
GGGUCCUGGGGUUUUUAUGCAAUUGAAUCCCAAAGUCUUGCGGGUGAAUUUUUGUGGUGUGAAGAUUGGGGAGUGCUAGUGUGGAUGUAUUUAAUAAUUGAAAAUAGGUGGCUAUACUUAUAAUUUUUGAACCUAAUAAGUACAGAGUACAUAUAGAGAUGGAUACUUUGGCAUAAGAUUUCCAAGUUGAUGGAGCAGGAUAUCUAGAUCCCAGUAGCUCGAGACUUCAAUUGUAUU